rnacentral:rRNA from 1 species
CGCGCAGGCGGGUUAGCAAGUCAGAGGUGAAAUCCUACAGCUUAACUGUAGAACUGCCUUUGAGACUGCUAAUCUUGAGUACGGAAGAGAGAGAUGGAAUUCCAGGUGUAGUGGUGAAAUACGUAGAUAUCUGGAAGAACACCAGUGGCGAAGGCGGUCUCUUGGUCCAUUACUGACGCUAAGGCGCGAAAGCGUGGGGAGCGAACA